rnacentral:rRNA from 1 species
GACGAACGCUGGCGGCGUGCUUAACACAUGCAAGUCGAACGGAAAGGCCCUGCUUGCAGGGUAUUCGAGUGGCGAACGGGUGAGUAACACGUGGGUGAUCUGCCCUGCACUUCGGGAUAAGCCUGGGAAACUGGGUCUAAUACCGGAUAGGAGCCAUUUUUAGUGUGAUGGUUGGAAAGUUUUUUCGGUGUAGGAUGAGCUCGCGGCCUAUCAGCUUGUCGGUGGGGUAAUGGCCUACCAAGGCGGCGACGGGUAGCCGGCCUGAGAGGGUGGACGGCCACAUUGGGACUGAGAUACGGCCCAGACUCCUACGGGAGGCAGCAGUGGGGAAUAUUGCACAAUGGGCGCAAGCCUGAUGCAGCGACGCCGCGUGGGGGAUGACGGCCUUCGGGUUGUAAACUCCUUUCGCUAGGGACGAAGCUUUUUGUGACGGUACCUAGAUAAGAAGCACCGGCUAACUACGUG